rnacentral:tRNA from 1 species
GAGGGCAGAGCUCAGUGGUAGAGCUCGUGCUUAGCAUGCACGGGGCCUGGGUUCCAUCCCAAGUCCCUCCA